GUUGAACGCUGGCGGCAUGCCUUACACAUGCAAGUCGAACGGUAACAGGUUAAGCUGACGAGUGGCGAACGGGUGAGUAAUGUAUCGGAACGUGCCCAGUCGUGGGGGAUAACUGCUCGAAAGAGCAGCUAAUACCGCAUACGACCUGAGGGUGAAAGCGGGGGAUCGCAAGACCUCGCGCGAUUGGAGCGGCCGAUAUCAGAUUAGGUAGUUGGUGAGGUAAAGGCUCACCAAGCCGACGAUCUGUAGCUGGUCUGAGAGGACGACCAGCCACACUGGGACUGAGACACGGCCCAGACUCCUACGGGAGGCAGCAGUGGGGAAUUUUGGACAAUGGGCGCAAGCCUGAUCCAGCCAUGCCGCGUGCGGGAAGAAGGCCUUCGGGUUGUAAACCGCUUUUGUCAGGGAAGAAAAGGUUCUGGCUAAUACCUGGGACUCAUGACGGUACCUGAAGAAUAAGCACCGGCUAACUACGUG
rnacentral:rRNA from 1 species